AUAACAACUGUGAAGAGAAGAAGUAGUUUAUUUUGAAAUGUACAGAGAGUCGUUUGCUUGCUGAAAUAACGAUACAAAGAUGGUAAAUGAAUAACAUCUUGGAGUUGCUUAGCAGAAAUAGUAGUAGGUUAAGCCGUAUUAGAUGCGUUAAAUCUAUAGACCUUAGUGUCUGAUGAGUGAGCUUUAUGCUAAUUAGAGUGGUACCACGGAAGUAGAACUUUCGUCUCUUAU
rnacentral:ncRNA from 1 species